AUACGGAGGAUGCGAGCGUUAUCCGGAUUUAUUGGGUUUAAAGGGAGCGUAGGUGGGAUAUUAAGUCAGCUGUGAAAGUUUGGGGCUCAACCUUAAAAUUGCAGUUGAUACUGGUUUCCUUGAGUACGGUACAGGUGGGCGGAAUUCGUGGUGUAGCGGUGAAAUGCUUAGAUAUCACGAAGAACUCCGAUCGCGAAGGCAGCUCACCGGGCCGGAACUGACACUGAUGCUCGAAAGUGCGGGUAUCAAACAGGAUUAGAUACCCUGGUAGUCCGCACAGUAAACGAUGAAUACUCGCUGUUUGCGAUACACUGUAAGCGGCCAAGCGAAAGCGUUAAGUAUUCCACCUGGGGAGUACGCCGGCAACGGUGAAACUUAAAGGAAUUGACGGG
rnacentral:rRNA from 1 species